UCACAUCAAUUGAUUAUCGGUAUCCGAAAUUCGGAUAAAGGGAAUUCGAAACCGAUUGCCCCGUCUGGGGCAUUUGGUGAACCGAAGCUGCCCCCGCAACUGUAGGCGGUGAGCAUUACCCGAAAGCUAUACCACUGAGGCUCCCAAUGCCUUGGGAAGGUCGGGAAAUGCGUUGAACCGUGAGCCAGGAGACCUGCCGAUAUUCGUAGCGACUG
rnacentral:ncRNA from 1 species